AUCACGUCAGCAUAAAGGCACAAUCUAGUGUAUGCAUAGUGACAAUUUCAAUAGAUCUAGUAGUAUCUGAUAAUUUCUUACCUGAAGUAAGAUCUUUUAUGUCGUCUGUUCAGAGAACACUCAUCGAUCUUGAAGCUCUGACGUUCCUAGCUCCCAUUGCGAGAUAGAGAAGAGUGAAUUUCUUUUCAUUUUCAGCUAGAAGUGAAGAUGGAGAUUAUCUUUGAUAGUGGUGCUUUCUCCGGGGGUUGGACGACGACAAGUAGCUCACACGCUUAAUUAUGGUGCUUCCUUCGGGUAUCAGAAAAUAACAACAACCUUGU
rnacentral:lncRNA from 1 species